rnacentral:rRNA from 1 species
GAUGAACGCUGGCGGCGUGCCUAAUACAUGCAAGUCGAGCGAACGGACGAGAAGCUCGCUCCCCUGAUGUUAGCGGCGGACGGGCGAGUAACACGUGGAUAACCUACUUAUAAGACUGGGAUAACUACGGGAAACCGGAGCUAAUAACGGCUAAUACUUCCAACCGCAGGGAUCAGAAGUGAAAGACGGUCUUGCUGUCACUUAUAGACGGAGUCGCGUUGCAUUAGCUAGUUGGUAAGGUAACGGCCUACCAAGGCAACGAUGCAUAGCUGACCUGAGAGGAUGAUCAGCCACACUGGAACUGAGACACGGUCCAGACUCCUACGGGAGGCAGCAGUGGGGAAUCUUCCACAAUGGGCGAAAGCCUGACGCAGCAAUGCCGCGUGAGUGAUGAAGGUCUUCGGGUCGUAAAACUCUGUUGUUAGGAAAGAACAUCUGUGUAAGUAACUGUGCACGUCUUGACGGUACCUAAUCAGAAAGCCCCGGCUAACUACGUG